UACGUAGGGGGCAAGCGUUGUCCGGAAUCAUUGGGCGUAAAGCGCGUGUAGGCGGUUCGGUAAGUCUGCUGUGAAAGUCCAGGGCUCAACCCUGGGAUGCCGGUGGAUACUGUCGGACUAGAGUACGGAAGAGGCGAGUGGAAUUCCCGGUGUAGCGGUGAAAUGCGCAGAUAUCGGGAGGAACACCUAUUGCGAAGGCAGCUCGCUGGGACGUUACUGACGCUGAGACGCGAAAGCUGGGGAGCAAACAG
rnacentral:rRNA from 1 species